GCAGUCGUGGCCGAGUGGUUAAGGCGAUGGGCUAGAAAUCCAUGGGGUCUCCCCUCACAGGUUCGAAUCCUGUCGACUGCG
rnacentral:tRNA from 1 species